rnacentral:rRNA from 1 species
UACGAAGGGGGCUAGCGUUGUUCGGAUUUACUGGGCGUAAAGCGCACGUAGGCGGAUUGUUAAGUCAGGGGUGAAAUCCCGGAGCUCAACUCCGGAACUGCCUUUGAUACUGGCAAUCUAGAGUCCGGAAGAGGUGAGUGGAACUCCUAGUGUAGAGGUGGAAUUCGUAGAUAUUAGGAAGAACACCAGUGGCGAAGGCGGCUCACUGGUCCGGUACUGACGCGGAGGUGCGAAAGCGUGGGGAGCAAACAGG